GGCCACCCUUCUCUUCUCUUUUCUCUCACUCUUUGUGCCAGUCUGCUCUUUCUUUGAGUGUUUACCUCUUUCUCUCUCUCUUUUUCUUUAACUCUGAAAUAGAGGAACUAUUAGAGAAGUUAUAAUAAUGUCUACAACCCAUUGCUGAAAACUUUCUCCUUUUCUUCCUUCUCUAAAUCACUUCAGUUUUCUUUUCUUUCUAAUCAAGAUUGGUGUUUUUCCUCACAUUUUGCUCUCUGUGUUUGUUUGGUAGAACCCCAUUUGAGGAAAAAGAAUGGAGAAAGGGGGUGUUUGAGUUUUUUAGUGUGUGUGUAAAUUCACCAUUUCUGUGUUGAUUUUUAGUUUCUUUCCAGAUCUAUUAUCUAUAAAAAUCUCAUCUUUUCUCAUUUCAAUAUUACCCCUUUUGUUUGAUUUUUUGUUCAUCAGCUUGGAGAUAUGAGUAAAGAAGAGUUCU
rnacentral:misc_RNA from 1 species